rnacentral:rRNA from 1 species
CAACCCUUGAGAGUGGCGAACGGGUGAAGUUAAUAUAUCGGAACGUGCCAGUCGUGGGGAUACGUAGCGAAAGUUACGCGAAUACCGCAUACCGAUCUAAGGAUGAAAGCGGGGGAUCGCAAGACCUCGCGCGAUUGGAGCGGCCGAUAUCAGAUUAGGUAGUUGGUGAGGUAAAGGCUCACCAAGCCGACGAUCUGUAGCUGGUCUGAGAGGACGACCAGCCACACUGGGACUGAGACACGGCCCAGACUCCCUACGGGAGGCAGCAGUGGGAAUUUUGGACAAUGGGCGCAAGCCUGAUCCAGCAAUGCCGCGUGCAGGAUGAAGGCCUUCGGGUUGUAAACUGCUUUUGUACGGAACGAAACGGUGAGCUCUAAUACAGUUUGCUAAUGACGGUACCGUAAGAAUAAGCACCGGCUAACUACGUG